rnacentral:snoRNA from 1 species
AACGCAAAAAACCACAGCUGGAAUAUUAAAAGCAUUCCUAGGAGGCGGACCCGUAAGGAGCCUGCCCAGGAUCUAUGUGAAUUUUCAUGUACACCAGACUGGAGAACAGACCUUUGGUCAAUCUUGGGUGCAGCGUGUCAUCUGAUAGAUGUUCAGUUUUCUGACUCUGUCUAAGGGUUGCCCUUCGUGGUCCCGGAUGAGACUCGGUGCAAUGAUUGACUGAACAUAA